UACGUAGGGACCAAGCGUUGUUCGGAUUUACUGGGCGUAAAGGGCGCGUAGGCGGCUUAACAAGUCACUUGUGAAAUCUCCGGGCUUAACUCGGAACGGCCAAGUGAAACUGUCAAGCUAGAGUGCAGAAGGGGCAAUCGGAAUUCUUGGUGUAGCGGUGAAAUGCGUAGAUAUCAAGAGGAACACCUGAGGUGAAGACGGGUUGCUGGGCUGACACUGACACUGAGGCGCGAAAGCCAGGGGAGCAAACGGG
rnacentral:rRNA from 1 species